GCCUGGGUGGCUCAGUCGGCUGAGCAUCUGACUUUAGCUCAGACCAUGAUCAUGAGUUCGAGCCCCAUGUCAGGCU
rnacentral:tRNA from 1 species